rfam:Myotis lucifugus cont2.48463, whole genome shotgun sequence.
GAGACACCCCUUCAGGGCAAGACUUGCUUCAAUGGGGCUUUGGUGCUCACUGAGUCUGCCCCCUGAGUGUGUCCCU